UGGAAGUAAAAAAUCGUAACAAGGUCUCCGUUGGUGAACCAGCGGAGGGAUCAUUACUGAGUUUACGCUCUACAACCCUUUGUGAACAUACCUACAACUGUUGCUUCGGCGGGUAGGGUCUCCGCGACCCUCCCGGCCUCCCGCCUCCGGGCGGGUCGGCGCCCGCCGGAGGAUAACCAAACUCUGAUUUAACGACGUUUCUUCUGAGUGGUACAAGCAAAUAAUCAAAACUUUUAACAACGGAUCUCUUGGUUCUGGCAUCGAUGAAGAACGCAGCGAAAUGCGAUAAGUAAUGUGAAUUGCAGAAUUCAGUGAAUCAUCGAAUCUUUGAACGCACAUUGCGCCCGCCAGCAUUCUGGCGGGCAUGCCUGUUCGAGCGUCAUUUCAACCCUCAAGCUCUGCUUGGUGUUGGGGCCCUACAGCCGAUGUAGGCCCUCAAAGGUAGUGGCGGACCCUCCCGGAGCCUCCUUUGCGUAGUAACUUUACGUCUCGCACUGGGAUCCGGAGGGACUCUUGCCGUAAAACCCCCCAAUUUCCAAAGGUUGACCUCGGAUCAGGUAGGAAUACCCGCUGAACUUAAGCAUAUCAAUAGCCGGGAGGAA
rnacentral:rRNA from 1 species